UUUCCGUAGGUGAACCUGCGGAAGGAUCAUUAUUGUAUACCGGAGGUGCGAGGGCUGUCGCUGACCCGUAAGGUCGUGCACGCCCGAGUGCCCUCACACACAUCCAUCUCACCCCUAUGUGCACCACCGCGUGGGUCCCCCUUUGGCUUGUUCGGAGGGGGGCUUACGUUUUCACACAAACUUUGUAUGCAGUGUAGAAUGUAUUUUUUGUUUUUGCGAUCACGCAAUCAAUACAACUUUCAACAACGGAUCUCUUGGCUCUC
rnacentral:misc_RNA from 1 species